ensembl:lncRNA
UCAAUGAGAGUCUAAUUAGAAACAUAAUUUCAUAUUUUGCUGAAUAUAUUUAAAGCAAAAAACCCACGAUAUUCUUAGCUCAAAAGAGAAGACAUAAAAUGCUCAGUCAAAAAAAACUUUUCAUUAUUAUUUAAAGAAAUAAAAAAUAAACAAAAAAGAUAAAAUUGAAAAACAAGGUUUUUAUUGUCAGUUAAAUUAGCAAAGAUGGUAAAGAAAAGUCAUGCAUAUUCAGACAUUGAAAAGGAUUAGUAAAUGUAUAAUUGAAGUCACAGAAAAACACAGAGGAAAGCUAAAGCAAUAGUUGAAGAGAUACUGGCAGAGAGUUUUCCAAAACUGAAGUAGAUGUCAAGGGAUAGAAUCAAAAAGCUCUAUACACCACUAGCAAAAUAAAUGCAGGAUCAUGGUACAGCCUAGAACUGCUGGAGCAGGAAGCACAAAAUCCAAAAGUAGGUCAAUGGGAAUUACGCAGAGAGGUCUUAAUCUUCUAUUCUUUCUUUCCUGGAUAUGAGUAUUUGUAACACAGAAUUACAAAAUAACUCUUGGUUCAAUGCGUAUUUUACAUCUUGGAGUUCUCCAUCUCAACCAGGUUGCAUGUAAUCCCAAUGCUAGUCUCUUAUCUGAGCCUUUAAGAGGCCAUUUCAUUGUUCUUUGUGACUGGAAGCUUCUCAGAAAAGCGGAUCUCAUGAUCGUGUUCCUGUUAUGACACCUUUUCACUGUAAAUCCAAUAAAUUAUCCUUUUUUCACUAAAUAUGUUUAUCUGUAAUUCCAGAGGCAAUCUUUGUGGAAUCCUAUAUCCGUAAAUCAAAUACUCCGUAAGCCCUAGGAUAGUGUCUUGGAAGAGGGACUGCAGGUCAGGAAGGAAAACCCAUAUCCGGAGUAGGAGCCAAUUCCAAUACAGACAAAUAUCUACCCACUGCAUGGAGGAGGGGGUGAGAUGUAACUGACUUGCCAUUGAAUGGAUGUGGCCUCUCUGGGGAAUGGCGCGGUAUCAAGUUCUCAGCAUCAGUCCCUUCUGCUGAUCAAGCAUCAAGGAGCUGUAACAGCAGUUAUGAGACUAACCUUGAUAAAAAGGAGUCCAUGCUUUUGUUAUCAGAUGGGCAAUGAUGUGAGAUACAAAAGUCUACAUACUUUGUGCCCACUUACGUAGGUCCAUCCUUAUUCUUCUCUACCAGACUACUUUUCUCUGAUUUUCCAAUUUUGAUCUUUCAAGACCCCUAACAAACCAACAAAGCCUUUUUUCACUAUCUAGGAAUUCAUAUUUAUUUUUACUUAUGAUCAAGUCUCCAUCCAAAUUUUAUAACUAAGUGAAAUGUUUAUGGUUCUUCUCAAUAAUAUAAUUUUCCCUCACCAGUGGCCAUUAGGGUCAUCUGAAUGGGCUGUAAUGCAGCAAUAGUCCAUUUUUUUGGCUUGCACCAAGACCUAGAAUCGAGCUUUCCAAAGAAACCCUUCUAUGAGGCCACAAAAUUGAACUGAAAUAAAGGUAUUGAUGCAACAGAAGUAGGUAAUAUGGGAAACUCUCAGAGAAGAAUAAGGGCACAGCUGGUUAGGUGGAGAGGGGAAUAUGAAAGUGGAGAGUCCUGGGAAGGCAGUGAUCCAGUGCGUCAAGUGCUGCUCAGAGGUCAAAUGUGAUGAGACCUGAAUAAGGAUCAUUUGUGAUCACGACAAAAGCUGUUUUAUUGGCAUGAUUGGAUGAGUUGAAAAGGAAAAAAAAAUUGAAAGAGACAGUAU